GUGGCUGUGGCUCAGGCGGUAGAGUGGGUUGUCCAUUAACCAGAAAGUCAGUGGUUCAAUCCCCGUCUCCCCCA